UGGGGAAUAUUGCACAAUGGGCGCAAGCCUGAUGCAGCAACGCCGCGUGAGUGAUGAAGGCCUUUGGGUCGUAAAACUCUGUCCUAGGGGAAGAAUAAAAUGACGGUACCCUGGGAGGAAGCCCCGGCAAACUACGUGCCAGCAGCCGCGGUAAUACGUAGGGGGCAAGCGUUAUCCGGAAUCACUGGGCGUAAAGGGUGCGUAGGCGGUCUUUCAAGCCAGAGGUAAAAGGCAUUGGCUUAACCAAUGUAAGCCUUUGGAACUGUGAGACUUGAGUGCAGGAGAGGUAAGUGGAAUUCCUAGUGUAGCGGUGAAAUGCGUAGAUAUUAGGAGGAACACCAGUGGCGAAGGCGACUUACUGGACUGUAACUGACGCUGAGGCACGAAAGCGUGGGGAGCAAACAGG
rnacentral:rRNA from 1 species